rnacentral:rRNA from 1 species
CAUCCUCCAAGGCUAAAUACUCCUGACUGACCGAUAGUGAACCAGUACCGUGAGGGAAAGGCGAAAAGAACCCCGGCGAGGGGAGUGAAAAAGAACCUGAAACCGUGUACGUACAAGCAGUGGGAGCCCCACCACCAAAGCAUUCUCUGGUGUUGAAGGCCCUGCAAAGCAGCAUCGCGGUGGCGGAGCGUCGUUUGCGACGCCCAACACACAAAACAAGCGGUGAGUGCUUUGGGGUGGGGUGACUGCGUACCUUUUGUAUAAUGGGUCAGCGACUUAUAUUCUGUAGCAAGGUUAACCGUAUAGGGGAGCCGUAGGGAAACCGAGUCUUAACCGGGCGUUAAGUUGCAGGGUAUAGACCCGAAACCCGGUGAUCUAGCCAUGGGCAGGUUGAAGGUUGGGUAACACUAACUGGAGGACCGAACCGACUAAUGUUGAAAAAUUAGCGGAUGACUUGUGGCUGGGGGUGAAAGGCCAAUCAAACCGGGAGAUAGCUGGUUCUCCCCGAAAGCUAUUUAGGUAGCGCCUCGUGAAUUCAUCUUCGGGGGUAGAGCACUGUUUCGGCUAGGGGGUCAUCCCGACUUACCAACCCGAUGCAAACUGCGAAUACCGGAGAAUGUUAUCACGGGAGACACACGGCGGGUGCUAACGUCCGUCGUGAAGAGGGAAACAACCCAGACCGCCAGCUAAGGUCCCAAAGUCAUGGUUAAGUGGGAAACGAUGUGGGAAGGCCCAGACAGCCAGGAUGUUGGCUUAGAAGCAGCCAUCAUUUAAAGAAAGCGUAAUAGCUCACUGGUCGAGUCGGCCUGCGCGGAAGAUGUAACGGGGCUAAACCAUGCACCGAAGCUGCGGCAGCGACACUGGUGUUGUUGGGUAGGGGAGCGUUCUGUAAGCCUGUGAAGGUGGCCUGUGAGGGUUGCUGGAGGUAUCAGAAGUGCGAAUGCUGACAUAAGUAACGAUAAAGCGGGUGAAAAGCCCGCUCGCCGGAAGACCAAGGGUUCCUGUCCAACGUUAAUCGGGGCAGG